GGACGGGUGAGUAAUGUCUGGGAAACUGCCUGAUGGCGGGGGAUAACUAGUGGAAACGGUAGCUAAUACCGCAUAACGUCGCAAGACCAAAGUGGGGGACCUUCGGGCCUCACGCCAUCAGAUGUGCCCAGGUGGGAUUAGCUGGUAGGUGGGGUAACGGCUCACCUAGGCGACGAUCCCUAGCUGGUCUGAGAGGAUGACCAGCCACACUGGAACUGAGACACGGUCCAGACUCCUACGGGAGGCAGCAGUGGGGAAUAUUGCAC
rnacentral:rRNA from 1 species